UAUAAAAUGCCUGAUUAAAAGGGUUAUUCUGAUAGGGUAAAUAAUGUAAUUUUAAUAAUUACUUUUAUAG
rnacentral:tRNA from 1 species